rnacentral:rRNA from 1 species
AGAAUCAACGCUGGCGGCGUGCCUAACACAUGCAAGUAGAACGAGAAAGUGGAGCAAUCCAUGAGUAAAGUGGCGCACGGGUGAGUAACACGUGACUAACCUACCCUCGAGUGGGGAAUAACUUCGGGAAACCGAGGCUAAUACCGCAUAAAACCUAAGGGUCAAAGGAGCAAUCCGUUUGAGGAGGGGGUCGCGGCAGAUUAGUUAGUUGGCGGGGUAAUGGCCCACCAAGACGAUGAUCUGUAUCCGGCCUGAGAGGGCGCACGGACACACUGGAACUGAAACACGGUCCAGACUCCUACGGGAGGCAGCAGUGGGGAAUUUGCGCAAUGGGGGAAACCCUGACGCAGCAACGCCGCGUGGAGGAUGAAAUCCCUUGGGAUGUAAACUCCUUUCGAUCGGGAAGAUAAUGACGGUACCGGAAGAAGAAGCCCCGGCUAACUUCGCGCCAGCAGCCGC